CUACACAUGCAAGUCUAGCGGAACGAGUUAUCUGAACCUUCGGGGGACGAUAACGGCGUCGAGCGGCGGACGGGUGAGUAAUGCCUAGGAAAUUGCCCUGAUGUGGGGGAUAACCAUUGGAAACGAUGGCUAAUACCGCAUAAUGCCUACGGGCCAAAGAGGGGGACCUUCGGGCCUCUCGCGUCAGGAUAUGCCUAGGUGGGAUUAGCUAGUUGGUGAGGUAAUGGCUCACCAAGGCGACGAUCCCUAGCUGGUCUGAGAGGAUGAUCAGCCACACUGGAACUGAGACACGGUCCAGACUCCUACGGGAGGCAGCAGUGGGGAAUAUUGCACAAUGGGCGCAAGCCUGAUGCAGCCAUGCCGCGUGUGUGAAGAAGGCCUUCGGGUUGUAAAGCACUUUCAGUCGUGAGGAAGGUAGUGUAGUUAAUAGCUGC
rnacentral:rRNA from 1 species